rnacentral:lncRNA from 1 species
UGCUGAAGGCUUGAGAAAGGGUGCCAAGAUAAUGGAAGAUCGUAGGGAAAAGAACUCAGUUGCUAGUAUAAUACUGUUGUCUGAUGGUCAAGAUACAUAUACAGUUAGUAGUAAUUCUGGUAGUAGCCGGCAGCAACCUAACUACAAGUUGCUUCUGCCUUUGUCCAUUCAUGGUGGAAUUAGUUCAGGGUUUAAAAUACCGGUACAUGCUUUAGUAGUAAUUCUGGUAGUAGACGGCAGCAACCUAACUACAAGUUGCUUCUGCCUUUGUCCAUUCAUGGUGGAAUUAGUUCAGGGUUUAAAAUACCGGUACAUGCUUUUGGGUUUGGUGCCGAUCAUGAUGCUUCGUCAAUGCAUUCAAUAUCAGAGAUUUCAGGAGGAAC